UACACAAGAUCCAGCGCACUCACCUAUCCACUAAACAGCAAUAAAAAAACUAAUAAAAUCUUUCAAUAUUGAAGUUGCUGUUUAGUGGAUAGGUGAGUGCGCUGGAUCUUGUGUAU